ACAUGCAAGUCGAACGAAAUCUUUAGCUUGCUAAAAAGUAAAGUGGCGCACGGGUGAUAACGCGUGGGUAAUCUGCUCCGAAUGGGAUAACAUUGCGAAAGCGAUGCUAAUACCGGAUAAAAUCUGGUUGGCUUCGGUGAACCGGAUCAAAGGUUCUCUUAAAAGCUACCGUUGGAAUACUCGCGUACCAUUACUUGUGGUGGGGUAAAGGCUCACCAAGCGAAUGGUUAGCUGGUCUGAAGAUGAUCAGCCCACACCGGAAACUGGGAACAACGGUCCGGACUCCUACGGGAGGCAGCAGUGAGGAAUUUUGCGCAAUGGGGGGAAACCCUGACGCAGCAACGCCGCGUGAGUGAUGAAGGCUUUCGGGUCGUAAAGCUCUGUCAGGUGGGAAGAACCCACCAGGUGUAAACAUCACCUGGUUGCUGACGGUACCACCGAAAGGAAGCACCGGCUAACUCCGUGCCAGCAGCCGCGGUAAUACGGGGGGUGCGAGCGUUAUUCGGAAUCAUUGGGCGUAAAGGGCGCGCAGGCGGUUUGUAAGUCAGAUGUGAAAUCCCGGGGCUUAACCCCGGAAGUGCAUAUGAAACUAUGAGACUUGAGUAUGGGAGAGGGAAGCGGAAUUCCUGGUGUAGCGGUGAAA
rnacentral:rRNA from 1 species